GACGAACGCUGGCGGCGUGCUUAACACAUGCAAGUCAGGGGGCGGGGUAACCCGUCACCGGCGACCGGGUGCGGAACACGUGAGCGACCUGCCCUGGGGUGGGGGAUAGCCGACCCAACGGCCGGGUAAUACCGCAUACGGCGCCCGCUUGGAAGCGGGAGGCGAAACUCGCAAGAGGCGCUAGGAGGGGCUCGCGGCCUCUCAGAAAGUUGGUGCGGUAACGGCGCACCAAGGCGAAGACGGGUAGCUGGUCUGAGAGGGUGGCCAGGCACAUUGGCACGGAGAAGCGGCCCAGAGGCGGACGGGGGGGAGCAGUGGGGAAUAUGGCGCAAUGGGCGAAGGCCUGACGCAGCGACGGCGAGGGGAGGAUUAGGCUCGUCGGGGUGUAAACUCCUGGUGCCCGGGACGAAUGCCCAGCAUCGGAGGGGUUGACGGUACCGAGUGAGGAAGCACCGGCUAACUCUGUG
rnacentral:rRNA from 1 species